UACGUAGGGUGCAAGCGUUAAUCGGAAUUACUGGGCGUAAAGCGUGCGCAGGCGGUUGUGCAAGCCGAUGUGAAAAUCCCCGGGCUUAACCUGGGAAUGGCAUUGGUGACUGCACGGCUAGAGUGUGUCAGAGGGGGGGUAGAAUUCCACGUGUAGCAGUGAAAUGCGUAGAGAUGUGGAGGAAUACCGAUGGCGAAGGCAGCCCCCUGGGAUAACACUGACGCUCAUGCACGAAAAGCGUGGGGGAGCAAACAGG
rnacentral:rRNA from 1 species